rnacentral:sRNA from 2 species
AUUGCGCGAACGCCUAGUAUUGCCCUGCGCGCGGAUGGGAAGUCAGUUUAUGGGGCAAUAGCGGGGGACCCACUUUCCGACGUUUACGUCUAGGGGUGAAGUCCUGCCAAAAGCAGGCCGGCUCAUUCUCAGGAGCCGAAUCCGACAGCUAACUUCGUAGGCGCUACAUGAGAGGAAUG